rnacentral:lncRNA from 1 species
GGCAGAUUGAAGCACAAAUGGGACCCCCGGUGUGAUAAGAGCAGUCCUCAUACACAGUAUGGGUACAAACGCUCCCCAGUGACAGCCAGCCCAGCUGAGCCCAUCCCUGCAGCGUGCAGAUCCAACGGUCUGCUCAGAGAGCUACAGCAGAACACUGCUGACCAGAACAGUGCAUCACCCGCACCAGGAGCAGCUCGUGUAAACAGAACCUCUCCAGGGGGCUUCGUGCUGAAGUGGAAUCAAAAUACAUGCCAGAUGACCAUAACAAAGCGCUGAGACAUAGGCAAGGCAGUUCCAAAUACGGUGCAGUGCUGAUGGGAGCGGCCACGGUCAGUCCAAUGAUCUCCCGGGUUAAUGAACAGCCAGAUCCCAUCGCUCCACUCAGGCUCUGUGCUUGGAGUUCUCUUUCUGCCACACAAACAGCUGAAGUCCACAAUUCCUUGAUCACACGAUAAAGAAAGUUUAUGAGAAAGUGAGGCAGAACAGGACAGAGCCCACAGCAAUAAUUAUGACGGUAUUAAAAGCAC